UAAGGAAUAUUGGUCAAUGGACGCAAGUCUGAACCAGCCAUGCCGCGUGGAGGAUUAAGGCCCUCUGGGUUGUAAACUCCUUUUAUCUGGGAAGAAAUGUACUUUUUCUUGAGUACUUGACGGUACCUGAGGAAUAAGCACCGGCUAACUCCGUGCCAGCAGCCGCGGUAAUACGGAGGGUGCAAGCGUUAUCCGGAUUCACUGGGUUUAAAGGGUGCGUAGGUGGGCAGGUAAGUCAGUGGUGAAAUCUCCGAGCUUAACUUGGAAACUGCCGUUGAUACUAUAGGUCUUGAAUUAUCUGGAGGUAAGCGGAAUAUGUCAUGUAGCGGUGAAAUGCUUAGAUAUGACAUAGAACACCAAUUGCGAAGGCAGCUUACUACAUAUAAAUUGACGCUGAGGCACGAAAGCGUGGGGAUCAAACA
rnacentral:rRNA from 1 species